rnacentral:lncRNA from 1 species
ACGUGGCGGCUCGGAAAGACAGCGUGCUGGCCGGACUGGCGACAGCAAGGCGUUCGCCUACAUACCAAGCGGCGGGUUGCUGGAGUCGAUGAUGAGCUUCAAAGCCAUGCCACGCAGCUAUACCGCUUCGGCGCUCCGCCCUCGAAAUGCGGCCCCACCGACAACACAGGCCAGACGCAUAAAGGUUCCGGGAGAUCAACCACAUUUCGGCGUCCUUGGAUCAGAUCACCGAUCUCACAGCUGUAAAUACACGGUUGGCUCUGCAUUCGAGUAUUUCUCGUAUUUGUCUUACAUUUGAACUAUACUGUAAACAUGAUUAGACAAGAAACUAACUCAAGUGUUAAUAUCCCAAUAAAUACUUUAUUUGACUAAAAGUCAGUUUUAAAGCAUUCCAGCAGUAUUUACAUUUAGAUUUUUUAAUUUUUUUUAAAUUGCCUUUGGUUAAAAGCUCAUAGAAAGCAAAUAAAUCAACAACAAUAGGUGUUACGCGAGACAUGACCCGUUUAUUUGAUUUUUUACGGUAAAUAAUUGACCCCAGAAUCUCUUCCAGCUGGUUCUUGAAGGAAACCAGAGUACCGGCUUCAACAACAUGACUGGACAGCUUCUUCCACACUCCCACCACUCUUUGUGUAAAGAAGUGCCUCUGUUCUCGGUUAAAAUGCACUUCCUCACAGUUUCCACUUGUGUCUGCUGAGUCAUGUUUCACUGUUGGUUCUGGAGAAAUCCUCUGGGUUGACUUUGUCAGUGUGUCACAGUCUUCUCUGUUCAAGACUAAAGAGACUCAGUUCCUUCAGCCUGUCAGUGUAGGACAGUCCCUUAAUGCUUGUAUCAGGUCUCCUCACAGUAUUCUCUGUUCAAGA